rnacentral:miRNA from 1 species
GCUUUCGAUCCGUAAGCCCGGAUCUUCAUCAGUGCUAAUAAAUAAAUAUUAUAAAUAUAAAUAUUAUUAUAAAUAUAAAUAUUAUAAAUAUUAUUUAUUAGCACUGAUGAAGAUCCGGGCUUACGGAUCGAAAGC